GCAUUGACAAAUGGUGACAGCAAGGUCCCAGAGACUCAAACUGAAACCAAAGGAUGAAGCAGUGUACUAUGCUUCGACUUCAAAAGAUAAAACUGGAUUUGAAAUAAAAUACAUAAACUUAUUCAAAGGUCGGGGAGUAUUCAGCUCUAGCCACUAUAGAAAAGGAGAUUUUCUAGUUGAAUAUAGAGGAGACAUAAUAACCAAAGAAGAAUGUGAAAGAAGACGCAGACUUUAUCAUAAUGCACUUGAAGUGUUUUUGUUUCAAAUCCUUUUUAAUGGAAGACAGUUAUGGGUUGAUGCUGCAAGAGAAGAUGGCUCGUUGGGUACACUUAUUAAUGACAAUCAUAUAAACCCAAACAGCAAAAUGAAAAUAAUCAAUGUUGAUAGAAAACCCCAUUUGUGCUUAUUCACAACAAAGGACAUCAGUCCAGGACAAGAGAUCACUUAUAACUAUGAUGUUUC